GGUGAAUGCUGGCGGCGUGGAUAAGUCAUGCAAGUCAAGGGGGCCCGCAAGGGCAACCGGCAAACGAGGUAGUAACACGUAGGUAGACCCCCCAGAGUCGGGCAUAGCCAGCCGAAAGGUUGGGUAAUUCCCGAUAGUCCCGAAAGGGUAAAGGUUUUCGUCUCUGGGAGUUGCCUGCGUAGUAUCAGCUAGUUGGUAGGGUAAUGGCCUACCAAGGCUACGACGCUUAGGGGAGCUGAGAGGCUGACCCCCACCGAUGGAACUGCGACACGGUCCAUACUCCUACGGGAGCUGCAGACGAGAAUAUUCCGCAAUGGGCGAAAGCCUGACGGAGCGACGCCGCGUGAUUGAUGAAGUGCUUCGGUACGUAAAGAUCUUUUAUCGGGGGACGAAGUUUAUUGACGGUACCCGAUGAAUAAGGGGCUCCUAACUCUGUGCCAGCAGCCGCGGU
rnacentral:rRNA from 1 species